UACGAGGGGGGCGAGCGUUGUUCGGAAUUAUUGGGCGUAAAGGGUGCGUAGGCGGUUUGGUAAGUCUGAUGUGAAAUCUAUGGGCUCAACUCAUAGUCUGCAUCGGAAACUGCCGGGCUUGAGUGUGGGAGAGGUGAGUGGAAUUCCUGGUGUAGCGGUGAAAUGCGUAGAUAUCAGGAGGAACACCUGUGGCGAAAGCGGCUCACUGGACCAUAACUGACGCUGAUGCACGAAAGCUAGGGGAGCAAACCGG
rnacentral:rRNA from 1 species